UACAGAGGGUGCAAGCGUUGCUCGGAAUCAUUGGGCGUAAAGGGCAAGUAGGUGGUCUCAUUUGUCUUGUGUGAAAUCCUUGGGCUUAACUCAAGAAGUGCGCAAGAAACGGUGAGACUCGAGUUCUGGAGAGGGUCGUGGAAUUCCCGGUGUAGCGGUGAAAUGCGUAGGGAUCGGGAGGAACACCAGAGGCGAAGGCGGCGACCUGGACAGAUACUGACACUCAACUGCGAAAGCGUGGGGAGCAAACAGG
rnacentral:rRNA from 1 species